CCGAACCUCACCCUGUCAAAACCAUCGCUCUAUUGCUCAUGCCUGCUUGUCUUCCCGGUUCUAGCUGAUUGCAUUCUACGUCUUCCUGUUAUCCAUCAUCUCCUCUCUGUCUCUCUCAUUAUUAGAGACUGAAAGGAAGCCGAAUCUAUGUUCAAUACUCUCAGCUCCUCACUUGAAGUCCUCUCCUAAUUAAAGUCAUUUGCGCCGAUGACAUGUGGCAUGUCUCCGUCCUGAGGAAUGCCCCUUCUAAGCUUUGCUCGAAAUCAUGGCUGAUGGUUGUCAUGUUAAAAUUAAUAAAAGCGGUAAUUAUGUAAUUUAUGUUUUGCGUUUAGCAUUUAGGAUUAAUGAAUGGAUGUGCAGUUUUUGGGCAGUGUCAGCUGGCCAAAAAUUUUUGAUUAGGUUUUAAAUUGUGAUCUGGGUUGUUAGUUUAUUUUGUUAUGUGUAUGAAAUGAAUAUUUUAGCAAUUUUGGAAUUGGAUUAUUUUGCGGUUUAGAUUUUUGAGUAGAAACACUAGGCGGAGGUGGAAUUGGGUUUUAGGAGUUGGGAUACUAUUUUCCAGGACAUCGAUUUCUACAGGAUGAAGAGUUGCAGGAUGAUGCCAUCAUAUCCUUACCCACACGGAAUUACAGACGUGACAAACUGACAAUAAAAAUAAAAGAUGGUGUUUCUGCAGGUGAUGUUUCUUCUUCAAGCCUAACAUUGGCGGGCAUAAAAAUGAAGGGGAUGGGUGUGGCCGUUUGUGACAUGGUCGGCUCGUGACAAUCAAGUUUUCAUUCUUGCAUUCUUAGUGAGAUUCUUAAAAUUUAUGGUGAAAGUUAAUUGUGGUGCUUCUUUUGAGGUUUGGUGGUGGCUGUCCAUAGAGUUUUAUCUCUGUUACUGCAAGUCCGACCAGGCUUGAAGUGCAGUAGGUUUACCCUGCCUGGAAAUGGUUUGAGAAGGAAGAUGAGAUUCAUUCUAUUCAAAAAAAAAAAAAAACCAGCACUCGAGUUUUAUAAUAUUUAUCCCUGGAGACCAAAGGGUGAUGCUAAUGGUUAUGACUUGGUAGUUGUUGAUGCGCACAAGGUAAUUUAUGCAAGUCGGAUUUGUCAUUCUUGCAAACCUAAUUAUGAAACAAAAGUAGGGAAGGAGAGAAUGAAGCAUCAGUUUGCCUUUGCAGAAGUCAAGAUUGUUAUGGAAGCUACUUAAAUCUCAUUAGAAAGGAGCCUUUCAGAAGAGUGCCAUGGAAUACUUGAUCGACAUCAAUUGAUGCUAGAGGCUUGUGAACUGAAUUCAAUAUCUGAAGACGAUUACAUUGAUUUAAGAAAGGUUGGACUUGGCAGCUGUUUGCUUGGCGGGUUGCCUGAUUAGCCAAUAGCAUAUUCUACUCUUGUGGUGAGAUUUAUCAACUCUGGAAGGGUCAGGCUUCCAGAUGAGAUUUUGAGGCAUAAUGUGGACAAGAAGAAGAGAUAUUUUUGCUUAAAUUGUCAUGGAAGUUGAGAAAAGUGAUGUUGAAGUGCAGGUGAGGGAUAUGUGUUUCUGGUGAUCCAAAGAAAGCGCCGCCUCCACUUGAAAGGCUUUAUCCUGAAGAAGCAGUGUCCUAUGCCUAGAAAGGAGAAGGAUCAAUUGUUGAGGAACUGUUGCAUUACAUGGCUCCUUAUGGAAGAUGGCAUGCUUAAUAUCCAAGGCCUAAUAUGUUCUCACAAUACAUCUGGUUCUGAUGAUGUCUACAGGAUGCUUCGCAAAUCUUUGUUAUGGUUGAGGGAUGAACUCCGGAAUCUAUAGUGUUCAUACAAAUUUCCACAUGAUGCAGCUGCUGACCUGAUCCACCUAUAUGCUUAUACAAAAUGCUGUUUUACAAUAUGUAUGAGUUCUCAAGUUCCAUCUGUUUUUUUCCCAUCCAUUUCUGGCUUGGGGUGGGUUGGGGUCAGAAUUCGAUAAAAGCUACGUGCACUCUUUAUAUUUCACUCUUUGAUAAAUAAUGGUCUUUGAACAAUUAUGUUGACCACA